CCCACCACCGUCCCAACUCCCAAGAGCCAAAAGAGAGGCGAGAGACCUGGCCUGGCCGCCUCCUUCACACAAGCCGCCCAGCCCCGCCCCGCCCCCUCGUCCCUCUGCGCGUCGCCUUGCCUCGCGCCGCCGCGGCCGCCGUCGUCGCCAUGGGUGCGGGCGCGGGCGCGGCGGAGGAGCCGUCGCAGACGCGGCGGGCGCUGGUCGACACGGCCGCGGGCGCCAUCUCCGGGGGCAUCUCCCGCACCGUCACCUCCCCCCUCGACGUCAUCAAAAUCCGGUUCCAGGUUCAAUUAGAGCCGACGGCAAAAUGGGGUGUACUUCGGAGGGAUGUCUAUGGACCUUCCAAGUACACUGGACUUAUGCAAGCAACUAAAGAUAUUCUGCGAGAGGAAGGUUUGCCGGGAUUCUGGAGAGGAAAUGUUCCAGCCUUGUUUAUGUAUAUGCCAUAUACAGCUAUACAAUUCACAGUUCUACACAAGCUAAAAACAUUUGCAUCUGGUUCAUCGAGAACAGAGGAUCAUCUGCACUUAAGUCCUUACUUGUCUUACGUAAGUGGGGCUAUCGCAGGAAGUGCAGCAACUGUAGGGUCAUAUCCAUUUGACCUUCUCAGAACUAUUCUUGCGUCACAGGGUGAACCGAAGGUUUACCCCAAUAUGCGGUCUGCACUUGUUGAUAUAGUUCAAACUCGUGGUGUUCGAGGGCUGUAUGCUGGUUUAACUCCAACUCUUGUUGAAAUUAUACCAUAUGCUGGCUUGCAGUUUGGUUCAUACGACACUUUCAAACGUUCAAUGAUGUCAUGGAAUAGAUACAGAUAUGGAAUUGAGGAGGAUGACUCGGCAUCAAGCUUCCAGCUAUUUCUUUGUGGAUUCGCAGCUGGAACAUUUUCAAAAGCUGCAUGUCACCCACUUGAUGUUGUUAAGAAAAGAUUCCAGAUUGAAGGAUUAAAACGUCAUCCAAGGUAUGGGGCGCGGAUUGAGAGCAGCACAUACAAGGGCAUGUACCAUGCCCUAACAGAGAUAGUUGUUAAGGAGGGGUUUGGAGGCCUCUAUAAAGGGCUUUUCCCAUCGGUGGUGAAAUCAGCUCCUGCUGGUGCAGUGACAUUUGUGGCCUACGAAUACAUCUCGGACUGGUUAGAGUCAUUACUCAUGUGAAAGAUCGCCAUGCAGUAUUCUUUCUCUCCUCGAUUUGUUUUGAGUUGUCCAUAGUCCUUCUCGGCAUCUGUAUUAGUAAAUGGAUUUGUGUCUGGAAGAGGCUGCAUUUCCCUUGGAUCUUGCAGCCAAUUCAAGAUUUUGGGAGCCUACAAAACCAGCCGGAUCAUUUAUGCUUGAUAGGGGCCAAGGCCGGAGUUGAGUGAGUCCUUCAAUUGGAUAAAGGAGCUAACAGUACCCGCAUUCUCGUCAUCAGCGGGAACUUUCAGUUGUUUGGAGACCGCAAGGUCGAUGGAGAAAGAAAGUGCAUACGAUCAUUCGUUGAGAGUUGAUACCUGUAAAGCCUUACACAUAGAGCGAGCUAUUUUGCCGUUUUCUCUCCCUUAAUUUUUUUGCCCCCCAUCGCCUAAUGUCAUGAUAGUGCAUUCCUUGAGCUGUAACAGUGAGGCUGAGUAAAACUGAUAUAGAGCCUGUGACUUGUGAUAAAUGUCAAGAGCAGCAGGCAUUUUUGUUGAGA